GAUUCCCUCUACCCGCUCCA
rnacentral:tRNA from 4 species